ACACUGCCGCCGUCGGUAAACCUCGCCGUCAGGGAUAGGAUUUAUAAUGUGCGAUAAGAAUUUAAAAAAAAAAAAAAAAAAAAAACGUCCGAUAUGUAUUUUUAACAAACGAUAAUUGUGUUUAGAUUUGGGUUUUAUUAUUAUUAUUAUUUUUUUUUAACGCUUAUUUGUAUACGAAAUAAUGUCGUAGUAUAGUCGAAAUCGUUUUGUUACACAGACGGGUGAAUAAUACAGGGAUUCAAUACUGCGGUAAACCGGUUUUACUUCAACGGUUUCUCUCGAUUCC